rnacentral:rRNA from 1 species
UACAGAGGGUGCUAGCGUUGUUCGGAAUCAUUGGGCGUAAAGGGCGUGUAGGCGGUUUGUUAAGUCAUGUGUGAAAUCCCUCGGCUCAACCGGGGAACGACGCAUGAAACUGGCAAGCUAGAGUACCAAAGAGGGGGGUGGAAUUCCCGGUGUAGCGGUGAAAUGCAUAGAUAUGCCAUAGAACACCAAUUGCGAAGGCAGCUGGCUAGGCCUGGAUUGACGCUGAGGCACGAAAGCGUGGGGAGCGAACAGG